UGCAUCCGAAGCUCUCUCUUUUCGCAUCCCUCGCCCACUCGUUUCUCUUCGCUUGCGUUGAGCGUCGUCUCUCACCAUGCCUUCUCAAAAGACUUUCAGGAUCAAGAAGAAGUUGGCGAAGAAGCUAAGGCAGAAUCGCCCAAUUCCGCACUGGAUUCGUAUGCGUACCGAUAAUACCAUCAGAUACAACGCCAAGCGUAGGCACUGGCGCAGAACCAAGCUUGGACUGUAGGCUGUGUGAGGGUCAAAGUACAGGAUGUAGUUAUAACAGGGGAUGUGACUCAACUCACCUGUUGGGUUGAGUUGGUAAGUUAAUCAUCAUUUUGGCUUCUCGCUGGUGUCUACCCAUGGGAGACAUCACGCCCCUUUUAUAAUAUUUCUUUUACAUUCGGAUGGGUGUUUAGAACAAUCCACUAAUUGUUUUGAUAUUUGCCUUACCAACACUUAUGUAAUCCUCGAGCCUUGGGUUUUGUUUGCAAUUUCCCCCAGGCGAAGUGAAUCGUUACGUGAGUAUUUCUUUA